AUCGCUUCUGGGCUUUCUUAAGCUAAAAAUCAAAUGUAGUAUUGUUUUAUCAUUUGGUAUCUGUUAUGUUUCCCUCCCAGGGGGUCAAUGAUAUUAAAACUAUUUUUUAAUUUUGGGAAUUGCUAGGGGCUUGCCCCACCUUUGCCGGGUUUUCCCCCCGGUAUUCCCUUUUACUUCUGGGAUCAGCCCUUUUUUA